GACGAACGCUGGCGGCGUGCCUAAUACAUGCAAGUCGAGCGGAAUGAUGAAGAAGCUUGCUUUUUCUGAUUUUAGCGGCGGACGGGUGAGUAACACGUGGGCAACCUACCUUGUAGAUUGGGAUAACUCCGGGAAACCGGGGCUAAUACCGAAUAAUCCAUUUUGCUUCAUGGCGAGAUGUUGAAAGACGGUUUCGGCUGUCACUAUAAGAUGGGCCCGCGGCGCAUUAGCUAGUUGGUAGGGUAAUGGCCUACCAAGGCGACGAUGCGUAGCCGACCUGAGAGGGUGAUCGGCCACACUGGGACUGAGACACGGCCCAGACUCCUACGGGAGGCAGCAGUAGGGAAUCUUCCACAAUGGACGAAAGUCUGAUGGAGCAACGCCGCGUGAGUGAAGAAGGUUUUCGGAUCGUAAAACUCUGUUGUAAGGGAAGAACACGUACGAGAGUAACUGCUCGUACCUUGACGGUACCUUAUUAGAAAGCCACGGCUAACUACGUG
rnacentral:rRNA from 1 species